GACGAACGCUGGCGGCGUGCCUAAUACAUGCAAGUCGACCUUAGUGGCGAACGGGUGAGUAACACGUGGGUAACCUGCCCAUCAGAAGGGGAUAACACUUGGAAACAGGUGCUAAUACCGUAUACUGAUGGAUGGACCCGCGGAGCAUUAGCUAGUUGGUGAAGUAACGGCUCACCAAGGCCACGAUACAUAGCCGACCUAAGAGAGUGAUCGGACACAUUGUGGCUGAGACACGGCCCAAACUCCUACGGGAGGCAGCAGUAGGGAAUCUUCGGCAAUGGACGAAAGUCUGACCGAGCAACGCCGCAUGAGUGACGAAGGUUUUCGGAUCGUAAAACUCUGUUGUAAGAUAAGCGGUAUCUAACAAGAAGGCCACGGCUAACUACGUGCCAGCAGCCGCGGUAAUAC
rnacentral:rRNA from 1 species